AAAGUUACAUAAGCGCACACAAGGGAUGCCUUGACGUGAGAUACCGAUGAAGGACGUGAGAAGCUGCGAAAAGCUUCGGGGAGCUGCUUACUAAGCUAUGAACCGAAGAUAUCCGAAUGGGGAAACCCGGCUAGAGUCAUGUCUAGUCACCCGUAAUUGAAUAUAUAGAUUACGAGGCGGGAACCAGGGGAACUGAAACAUCUUAGUACCCUGAGGAAGAGAAAGUAAACAACGAUUCCGGGAGUAGUGGCGAGCGAAACUGGAAUAGCCCAAACCUUUUAAGUUUUUGUCUGCUCAUUUAUGGGCGGACAAAUAAGUUGGUAGACGAAUAUUUAAAAGGGGUUGUGACACUACAAAAAACCUUUUGUAGGACCUGGACGUAGUCCAGAUUCUACAUAAGGCGGCAGGAGCUACCAUUAUUCUGCAUAAGGUUAGAAAUUUGCGAGGUGAGCAGAAGGAAUUGGAAAGUUCCGCCAGAGACGGUGAAAGCCCGGUAUGCCAAACUUCGCAAACCUUAUAUUUGUAGAGCUUGUGCCGAGCACAAGCGAGUGAAAAGAUAAAGGUCUUUUGGAUUUUUGCUUUUAACUUGCUCGUGCGAAGUGCGAGCGAUUGUCGAGUAGGUCGGGACACGUGAAACCCUGACUGAAUCCGGGACGACCACGUCCCAAGGCUAAAUAUAUCUUGCGAUCGAUAGUGAACUAGUACCGUGAGGGAAAGGUUAAAAGAACCCCGGAAGGGGAGUGAAAUAGAACCUGAAAUUGUGUGCGUACAAGGAGUCGGAGCCCCGCAUAUGCGGGGUGACGGCGUGCUUUUUGUAGAACGAUCCAGCGAGUUAAUUAUUACGGCAAGCCUAAGACAUCUGUCGGAGGCAUAGUGAAAGCGAGGCUGAAUAGGCCGUUAGGGAUUUAUCCCUUAAGUCGUGGUAAUUAGACCCGAAACCAGGUGACCUAACCAUGGGCAGGUUGAAGCGCAGGUAAAACUGCGUGGAGGACCGAACCGUCGAGUAUUGCAACACUCUCGGAUGACCUGUGGUUAGCGGUGAAAUGCCAAUCGAACCUGGAGAUAGCUGGUUCUCCUCGAAAUAGCUUUAGGGCUAGCGUCGUACGGUAGCAUGUAGGGGUAGAGCUCUGUUUCGGACUGGGGCGCGUAAGCGUACUCACCCUUGACAAACUACGAAUACUACAUGUGGAACUACGGCAGUCAGAACGCCGGGGCUAAGCUCGGCGCUCGAAAGGGAAACAGCCCAGACCAUCAUCUAAGGUCCCUAAGUCUAUGCUAAGUGGGAAACGAGGUGAGAUUUCUUAAACAACUAGGAUGUUGGCUUAGAAGCAGCCAUUCAUUUAAAGAGUGCGUAACAGCUCACUAGUCAAGAGAUCUUGCGCGGAAAAUGUAACGGGGCUAAGCAUAGCACCGAAGAUAUGGAUGUCACAUUUAUGUGGCGUGGUAGAGGAGCGUUGAUAUUGCAUUGAAGUUGGACUGCGAGGUCUGGUGGAGCGGUAUCAAGUGAGAAUGCUGGAAUGAGUAACCAUAAGGCAGGUGAGAAUCCUGCCCGCCGAAAGAGCAAGGUUUCCUGGGCCACGAUAAUCGUCCCAGGGUUAGUCGGUCCUAAGCCGAGGCGCGUAGCGUAGGCGAUGGACAACGGGUUAAUAUUCCCGUACUAGUCAUACAUUGUUUGAAAUGACGCAUCAUGUUAGCAGGAGCGAAUUCAUGGUUAUAUUCGUCUAAUCUCGAUUAACGUCGGGAGAAUGAAAAGCCAUUUUGGCUGAUUCUUGUGAGAGUGGUGACUAGAAAAUCUUUCAAACUUGUGUGUAUGGCUAUCCGUACCGCAAACCGACACAGGUGCUCAGGUCGAGUAGACCAAUGGCGUACGAGUGAUUCUUCGUUAAGGAACUCGGCAAUUUAGCGACCGUAACUUCGGGAUAAGGUCUGCCCCGUCACAGUGUCUAUGACAUUCGUGACUUGCCAGUUUUCUUUUUGAAAACAAUAGGUGUCUUGGCGUAAGUUUUUAACUUCUUACGUUCAAGCGCAAAGACGAGCAUCCACCAACUGGUGGAUUGAGAAAAGAAAGCUGACCCCAUAGAAUUACGUUUUAGUAAGUCUAUUAAGUCAAUUAUCGUGGUAGAUAAUGUGACGGGGCCGCAGCUAAGGAGCCCACGCAACUGUUUACCAAAAACAUAGGUCUCUGCUAACACGAAAGUGGAUGUAUAGGGGCUGACUCCUGCCCAGUGCUGGAAGGUUAAGGGGAGUGCUUUACGGUGCGAACUGAAGCCCCAGUGAACGGCGGCGGUAACUAUAACCGUCCUAAGGUAGCGAAAUUCCUUGUCAGGUAAUAAACUUGCCUGAAAAGCAAAGCGAUUUGCUUAGAGUAAACCAACUAAUAACGGGGAAAUCUAAAACUGUUUUCAACAGUAAUGACAAUCCCGUGGCAAUCAUUCGCUUUACAUAGUGAAUGGAAGCCGUAACGACUAAUCCGAAAGGAGAGGUACAUGAUGAAAAAUGUACAAUACGUUGGCUCUCGCCCAAAAAAGGAAUCCAUGGAGUUUGCUUGGUAUAUUACAGGUUUUACAGAUGGAGAAGGUUGUUUUUCGGUUAGUUUUAACCAGCGUGCAAAACUGAAAACUGGUAUCGAAGUGAGACCAAGUUUUUCUAUUGCACAGAACAAACGCAGCCUACAGGUAUUGAAAGACAUUCAUGCCUACUUCGGAUGUGGCGCGAUUCGUUUCAGUAAGCGCGAUCAAAUGUAUAAAUAUGAAGUACGUUCGAUUAGCGAUCUGAGGUUGCGAAUUAUCCCGCAUUUUCAGAAGUUUCCAUUGUUAACCAGUAAAGCUAAUGAUUUUGAGAUAUUCGCCAAGGUAUGUGAGCUGAUUCAUCAGUCGCAUCACCUGAAUGCAGAAUAUCUUAAACAGAUCAUCAUACAGAGUCAUCUUAUGAAUAAGUCUGGAAUCAGACGCAAUAGCCAAGAUGAGCUUCUAAAGAUUCUGGCGAGAUGAAAAGAUAGUCUGAUCUGCUUGGAAACGAGCAGCUAACUAAACUAUGAAGUUCUGACCCGCACGAAUGGAGUAAUGAUGUGGGCACUGUCUCAACGAAGAGCUCGGUGAAAGUGCAUUGACGGUAAAGAUGCCGUCUGUCCGCAGCAGGACGAAAAGACCCCGUGGAGCUUUACUACAGCUUGACAUUGGGCAUAGGGACAACAUGUGUAGGAUAGGUGGGAGACUUUGAAGCUUUGGCGCUAGCCGAGGUGGAGUCAUCGGUGAAAUACCACCCUUGUUGUUUUUGUGUCCUUACGGGGACCACAAUUUGCAGAGCAAAUUGAGUAAUUAGUAUGCAACAUUUAUCACAUAAGAUAAAUUACGCAGUAUUACUCACGAUUGGUCUUCAAGUUCUGGUUCCUGGACAGUGUCUGGUGGGUAGUUUAACUGGGGCGGUUGCCUCCCAAAGAGUAGCGGAGGCGUUCAAAGGUUGGCUAGGUUCGGAUGGAAAUCGAAUCGAUAGUGCAUACGCAUAAGCCAGCUUGACUGUGAGGCCUACAAGCCAAUCAGACACGAAAGUGGGAGUAAGUGACCCGUUGUAUCGGCCAUUUAUGGCCAUUGAACGUGGGAUCGACAACGCAAACGGAUAAAAGUUACCCCGGGGAUAACAGGCUUAUAGCGCCCAAUAGUUCACAUAGACGGCGCUGUUUGGCACCUCGAUGUCGGCUCAUCUCAUCCUGGAGGGGGAGCACCUUCCAAGGGUCCGGCUGUUCGCCGGUUAAAGAGGUACGUGAGCUGGGUUCAGAACGUAAAUUACAUUGCGUUCUACCACUGAGAAGUGGUAAAGUACGGAUGUACAUCGCAUCAAUGGUACUAAAUUCGACUAAUAUCGGUGAAACCUUACUUUAAAGUUUCGAACGACUUAAAAAGGCAAUACCGAGGGAAGACGAAAUCGAAAGUGACUCAAGAAGAAAAGGCCUACAUAGCUGGAUUUCUUGAUGGUGAUGGUUCAAUCAUGGCUCAAUUAGUUUAUCGUAAAGAUUACAAAUUGGGCUAUCAGAUACGAACCAGUAUAGUUUUCUAUCAGAAAACUAACCAUCAUGAUUUCAUCCUUUGGCUAAAGGACCAGUUAGGCUAUGGUUAUGUUCGCACGCGUCGUGACGGCAUGAGCGAGUACGCCAUAGUUGGCUUUAGGGAAGUUAGUCAUGUGUUGACACUUCUGUAUCCCUUUCUUCAUCUCAAAAAAGCAUUAGCUGAACGUGUUAUUGCCCUUAUAGAGCAACAUCCGUCUCAGCGAAAACUAACUGCACAGCAAUUGGUCGUUUUGAGUAAGCUCGUUGAUAAAACAGCAAGUUUUAAUUACUCUAAAAAACGAACUAAUACGAGCAUGCAAGUUAUAGCUUUUUUGCGAGAGCACAAGAUUUUUGUCCCCGUAGAGACUGAUUCUGCCAAAUAGACCGGGCAGAUGAGAUGGGACCCACAACUAAUGGCCCAUCAUACGUCGACCCCUAGUCUCAAGCACAUUGAGAAAGGGAGAAGAUAUAGUCCGUGCCAUCAGAAAUGGUGGAAUUACACGCGUGAGACAGUUCGGUUUAUAUCCGCUGUGGACGAUAGGAAAUUUGAGGGAAUUUGCUCGUAGUACGAGAGGACCCGAGUGAACGCACCGCUGGUGUACCAAUUGUCAUACCAAUGGCAUUGUUGGGUAGCUAUGUGCGGACCAGAUAAGCGCUGAAAGCAUAUUAAGCGCGAAACUGACCCCAAGAUUAGAUUUCCCGGAGAUUUAUCUCUAGAGGACCCUGAAAGACGAUCAGGUUGAUAGGCGCAAGGUGAAAGUGCGGUAACGUAUUGAGCCGAAGUGUACUAAUAGUCCCAUCGACUU
rnacentral:rRNA from 1 species